AUUGAACGCUGGCGGCGUGCUUAACACAUGCAAGUCGAUCGGUAACGCGGGGGCAACCCUGGCGACGAGAGGCGGACGGGUGAGGAACGCUUGGGAAUCUGCCUAUCAGCGGGGGACAACGCGGGGAAACUCGUGCUAAUACCGCAUACGCUCUACGGAGGAAAGCCGGGGACCGCAAGGCCUGGCACUGAUAGAUGAGCCCAAGCCGGAUUAGCUAGUUGGCGGGGUAACGGCCCACCAAGGCGACGAUCCGUAGCUGGUCUGAGAGGACGAUCAGCCACACUGGAACUGAGACACGGUCCAGACUCCUACGGGAGGCAGCAGUGGGGAAUAUUGGACAAGGGGGGAAACCCUGAUCCAGCGAAGCGGCGUGGGUGAAGAAGGCCUGCGGGUUGUAAAGCCCUUUCGGUAGGGACGAAAGCUCUCGACCUAACACGUCGGGAGGUUGACUUAACCUACAGAAGAAGCACCGGCUAACUCUGUGCCAGCCGCCGCGGUAACAC
rnacentral:rRNA from 1 species